UGAGAUGUUCCCUUCACCCCGG
rnacentral:misc_RNA from 1 species